rnacentral:rRNA from 1 species
AUAUGCCUUAUGGUGGGGGACAACAGUUGGAAACGACUGCUAAUACCGCAUAAUGUCUACGGACCAAAGGGGGGGAUCUUCGGACCUCUCGCCAUUUGAUUAGCCCAAGUGAGAUUAGCUAGUUGGUAAGGUAAUGGCUUACCAAGGCGACGAUCUCUAGCUGGUUUGAGAGGAUGAUCAGCCACACUGGGACUGAGACACGGCCCAGACUCCUACGGGAGGCAGCAGUGGGGAAUAUUGCACAAUGGGCGAAAGCCUGAUGCAGCCAUGCCGCGUGUGUGAAGAAGGCCUUCGGGUUGUAAAGCACUUUCAGUAAGGAGGAAAGGGAAGUAGUUAAUAGCUGCUUUCUGUGACGUUACUUACAGAAGAAGCACCGGCUAACUUCGUGCCAGCAGCCGCGGUAAUACGAGGAGUGCAAGCGUUAAUCGGAAUUACUGGGCGUAAAGCGUUCGUAGGCGGUUGAAUAAGCAAGAUGUGAAAGCCCAGGGCUCAACCUUGGAACUGCAUUUUGAACUGUUCGACUAGAGUACUGUAGAGGGUGGUGGAAUUUCCAGUGUAGCGGUGAAAUGCGUAGAGAUUGGAAGGAACAUCAGUGGCGAAGGCGGCCACCUGGACAGAUACUGACGCUGAGGAACGAAAGCGUGGGGAGCGAACAG